GACACCCUCUGCGCAGAAAGAUAUUAGAAGAAAAGGCCAAAUGAACAGCUGCCAUAGAGGAGCACAACACCCUUGUACCAGAUUCAGCAAUUCAAAAUUCAAAAGGCACUCGCACAUCUGAGCAAUCUUCUUUGCAGGUGCAUGGUAACAGUUGGACAAAUGGAAACCGCACACUGCUCUUGAUAGUAUCACUGAUCUUGAAUGAGCUUACGUAUCGGCCUCGCGGCCUUCGUCAGAGCUAUCGGCAGUGAGGCCGAUGCGUAAGCUUAUUAAAGAUCAGUGAUUCUAUCAAGAGCCGUGUGCAGUUUCCUUUUUCCCUCACCAGAUUCAGCAAUACCAUCUGCAGAUGAGAUCCUUCCCGCAGACCUUCAUGUAUGGCGUUGACAAACUGACCUACUCACAAAGAAAAUAGCCUUUGACCGGGUGAUGCUCCUGAGACGGCUGAAGGAGGAAGAGGCUGUCAAUGGAAUCAGUAGGAAGCUGGGAGCAGAGGUCUCUUCUCCAUGCUUCAGAGGAGAGUCAGCAGCCUCAGAAGACACCAGGACUCUGUCCAACUGAUAUACAGUAAACCUAUGGGCCAAGACACCUCCCUCCUAGAAAAUAACUUCAUAGAUGACCUCCUGGAAGAGGACCUAGAUGACAGCAUCCACUACAGCUCUGAUGACG